GGGGGGGGGGGGGGGGCGGCGGGGAGGCGUUGGCCCGGUGACUCUGGAAUGUUCUUCCUUCCACUGAAUCCCUGUGACUCUGGCGACGGGCCACGAGGUGGAAUCGGAGCUUUGGUUGCUGCUUUGUCUGCAGAGUAACCAAGGCCCGGAGGGCUGUGCCGAGGUGGCAUGGCCGGACCGUGAGCGUGACCUUGCUUCCCAGUCCUGUGCUUCUUCCCCUCGUAGUUUCUGCUCAGCUCUGGAAACCUGAGCUCUCAUUCCCUCGGCCCCGGGCAUGGCCUGUUGCCCUGAUUGGGAAGGAGGAAGAGCCGUGCAGGAAUUCAGCUCACUGGGGAGGGGGACCCCUGUGUGCAUCUCGGGUCUCUGGCCUGAGGCUGGCAACUAACAUGUUGUACACAGUUGUACAGGGUGGAAGGACACCAAGCUUCAUCCACAAGGUGCCGUGUUCCCUGCCCACACCGUGGUCGCUAGGAGACACAGAAGGAGUGCGUGUAUUAGCUCCG